rnacentral:rRNA from 1 species
GACGAACGCUGGCGGCGUGCUUAACACAUGCAAGUCGAACGGUGAAGCGCCUUCCUUUUUGGUGGGUGUGGAUGAGUGGCGAACGGGUGAGUAACACGUGAGUAACCUGCCCCCUUCUUCUGGAUAACCGCAUGAAAGUGUGGCUAAUACGGGAUAUUCUGGGUCUGUCGCAUGAUGGGUCUGGGAAAGAUAUUGUUUCGGUGGGGGAUGGGCUCGCGGCCUAUCAGCUUGUUGGUGGGGUGAUGGCCUACCAAGGCGGUGACGGGUAGCCGGCCUGAGAGGGUGGCCGGUCACACUGGGACUGCGACACGGCCCAGACUCCUACAGGAGGCAGCAGUGGGGAAUAUUGCACAAUGGGCGCAAGCCUGAUGCAGCGACGCCGCGUGAGGGAUGGAGGCCUGCGGGUUGUGAACCUCUUUCGCCAGUGAAGCAGGCCUGCCUCGUUUGUGGGUGGGUUGACGGUAGCUGGAUAAGAAGCGCCGGCUAACUACGUG